UGGAGGAAAGAAAAGCCAGAGUGAAGCAGACCAUUAGCAGAUAAUUGUCAUAAUCUUGAUACUAAAUGGAGACCAGAAUUAAGUCAGAACACUGAAUACAGAAACUUGAAGAACAACAUCAUUUCAGUCAGGAGUACCAAAAAGAGCUUUUAAGAAAACGGAAGCAGAAAAUGGCAUAGAAGAAGCUGAACCUAAAAUAUUCAUUGAAGUCAGAAGGCAAAGGAUCCUUUGAUGUAGUCCAUUCAGAGCAGAAGGAGAAGAAUGCAGAGUGGAUCUGCAGGGACAAAUAGAAGAUGCAGCGCAAUGGAGAUACUGUUUAAUGCCGCAGGGGACCUGGGCUCUUUUCGUCUCUCCUAUGUAAAGAGAAUUUCCUCCAUCCAAGUAAAACUGAUGCGAU
rnacentral:lncRNA from 10 species